rnacentral:lncRNA from 1 species
CAACCUAUCUAGGAAUCUAGCAAGCAAGAACACUGUGCAGGGAGAGAAUUAAUUCAAGCAAGAAAAUCCAGUUCAUACUCGGAAAUCAGGUAUGUUAUAUAUGCAGCUUAUUUUCCAUCCUUUCUUUUCUUUUUUCUAAACUUUUAGGUAUCCCAUUAAGCCAUUCAACUCUGCAUCCAAGCUGUUUUCCCACUUUAUCUUAUCCUAUUAAGAUUAUGUGUUCACCAAAGGUUCUGUGACAUAUUUGCCCUCAUCAGAUUAUUUCCAACAGGAGUUGGAGUAUGGUGCAGCAUAAAAGAGGAUUUGAAGAACACUGAACAUAAAGUUCCCAAAGAUCUUGCCACUAGUCAAUUUAGGAAGACCGAAAGAAAGGAAACAGAGCAAGUAACAGAUCGGAACAUUGUUUGUUUCUUCUUUUAUGGUUAUGCAAUCACUUACGAUGUGUUACUAUGGUCAGAGUAACCAAAUAAUUUCUCAGCAUCACCAUUGCACUUGCAUCUGAUUGUAGGUUGGCUGUGGCACCAUACAUGCUCGCAUACUUGUAUAUCGAAUUUGCUCCACCAUGGUCAAUAAGGAAGUCAUGAUCAAUGUCGAAGGUCCGUUGUAUUUAUGAUAGUUAUGGCUAUUUUUCUACUUUCCAAAGCUUUGACCUGAAGAUCAAGAUUGAUCAGUACCAACUAUUCUUCCACAUGGUCAUGAUCAAUAUCAUGGAAAUCCGAGCGAAAAAGCUUUGGCAAAU